rnacentral:rRNA from 1 species
CACGAACCGUACGAACGUUAUUCGGAAUUACUGGGCUUAAAGGGUUUGUAGGCGGCCUUGUAAGUCAGGUGUGAAAUCCCUCGGCUCAACCGAGGAAUAGCGCUUGAUACUGCAAGGCUUGAGGGAGACAGGGGUAAGCGGAACUGAUGGUGGAGCGGUGAAAUGCGUAGAUAUCUGGAGGAACACCGGUGGCGAAGGCGGCAUCCUGGACCGGCAUUGACGCUGAGGAGCGAGAGCCAGGGGAGCAAACGGG